CCUUAAAAUUUUCAUCCAUUUCAACUAAUAAAAACAUAUGUAUAUCACAGAAUAACUUGACAAUUACACAUGAUGUGCCACAUGUAUCUCAUUCUCGUGUGCAGGGACCAUUAUUUAAUAGUAGAAACAAAUGAAAAUUUUAAUG
rnacentral:pre_miRNA from 1 species